AACCAGCACCUCAAGUGGUCAGGAUGAUUAUUGGGCCUAAAGCAUCCGUAGCCGGCUCUGUAAGUUUUCGGUUAAAUCUGUACGCUCAACGUACAGGCUGCCGGGAAUACUGCAGAGCUAGGGAGUGGGAGAGGUAGACGGUACUCGGUAGGAAGGGGUAAAAUCCUUUGAUCUAUUGAUGACCACCUGUGGCGAAGGCGAGACUCUGGACGACACCUGACGCUGAGAGACGAAGGCCAGGGUAGCGAAAAGG
rnacentral:rRNA from 1 species